UACGGGGGGAGCAAGCGUUGUUCGGAUUUACUGGGCGUAAAGGGCGCGUAGGCGGCCACUGCAAGUCGGUUUGGAAAUCUCCGGGCUUAACCCGGAAAGGUCAAUCGAUACUGCAGGGCUAGAGUGCAGAAGGGGCAACUGGAAUUCUCGGUGUAGCGGUGAAAUGCGUAGAUAUCGAGAGGAACACCUGCGGCGAAGGCGGGUUGCUGGGCUGACACUGACGCUGAAGCGCGAAAGCUAGGGGAGCGAACGGG
rnacentral:rRNA from 1 species